rnacentral:tRNA from 1 species
UCCCUUGUGGUCUAGUGGCUAAGACUCUGUGCUCCCAAUGCAGGUGGCCAGGUUCAAUCCCUGGUCAGGGAA